rnacentral:rRNA from 1 species
GACGAACGCUGGCGGCGUGCUUAACACAUGCAAGUCGAACGGAAAGGCCCUGCUUUUGUGGGGUGCUCGAGUGGCGAACGGGUGAGUAACACGUGAGUAACCUGCCCUUGACUUUGGGAUAACUUCAGGAAACUGGGGCUAAUACCGGAUAGGAGCUCCUGCUGCAUGGUGGGGGUUGGAAAGUUUCGGCGGUUGGGGAUGGACUCGCGGCUUAUCAGCUUGUUGGUGGGGUAGUGGCUUACCAAGGCUUUGACGGGUAGCCGGCCUGAGAGGGUGACCGGCCACAUUGGGACUGAGGUACGGCCCAGACUCCUACGGGAGGCAGCAGUGGGGAAUAUUGCACCAUGGGCGGAAGCCUGAUGGAGCAACGCCGCGUGCGGGAUGACGGCCUUCGGGUUGUAAACCGCUUUCGCCUGUGACGAAGCGUGAGUGACGGUAAUGGGUAAAGAAGCACCGGCUAACUACGUG